rnacentral:rRNA from 1 species
ACCUCACCCCUCCUUGUUACUUCCGUCUAUAUACCGCCGUCGUCAGCCUACCCUGUGAAGGUCUAAUAGUAAGCAAAAUUGGCACAGCCCAGAACGUCAGGUCGAGGUGUAGCAUAUGGAAGGGGAAGAAAUGGGCUACAUUCUCUAAUCUCAGAGAAUACGCACGGCAUAAUGAAAACAUAUGUCACAAAGGAGGAUUUAGUAGUAAGCAGGAAAUAGAGAGUUCCGCUGAAAUAGGCCCUUAAGCGCGCACACACCGCCCGUCACUCUCCCCAAGCCUACACAAACCCAAAUAACCUAAACCCUACUAUUGCAAAGGGGAGGCAAGUCGUAACAUGGUAAGCGUACCGGAAGGUGCGCUUGGAAAAAU